CCCUUAAAAUUUUGCCUCUUCCUCUAGUAAAUCAAAAAUUCACUCAAAUUGUUUUUUAUUUUAUUUUUCUAUAGAAACAACAUAUAACCUUUUUAUUGUUUAUCUUUCCCCCAAAUGUCCCAGAAUCGCAAAUCCUCCACCGAAUCGCAAAUAUGGAACCACAAACCCCUCCGCCGAAUCCCUAAUCGAAGACUUAAACCCCUUCGCCCUUCUCCUUCGUUCAAUUCGUCAAUUUCUCCGCCGUUUUCCUUUACUCCUCCGCCUUUCUCCACCGUUCUCCGCGGUUCUGAGGUAUCGAUUCAAUUGUUCUCUCUGUGAAUCAAAGAAGCCCCUUUGUGAGUUGUUCUUAUGGUCUCAAGUUAUGCUUUGUGUUUUUGUUUCUUUUAAUACAUUUUUUUAUUUCCCCUUAGAAGCCCCUUUGUUUUUGUUUCACUCUCAAUUUAUGCUUUGUUUCUUUUGCUAUACUGUACUAUUUUUUAUUUCCCUGGAUAUGAAGUUUUAAUCUUUGUGCUGAUUUUAAUUUUUAAUGAUAUAUUGAUGAUGUAUGGAACAAAUGCAUUUUGUAGUAGUAGUGACCGAGCCUUGAGGAUUGUAUAUGGUUAUUCCAAUCAUGAAAACAUUGGUCACCUUAACCCAGUUAGACUUACAAGUAUGUAUCCAUUCAUUCCAGUUACAUGUGCAGAUUCGCCGACUUCCAUUGCGUGUGUAUGUAGCAUUUCUGCUACUUAUUGUUAGCUUUUUUUUUUUGACACAGUUACUUUAUGUAUCUAAUACUUAGACGUUGAAGAAGAUAUUUCCAACUUCAUGGUUUUUGUAAUUAUAUUUUUAGUAAGUGGAUUAUUUGAUUUACUGCUAUGGUUGAAUACUAAAGCAAUUUGAGAGGAUCACUUCUGCCGAUGCUAGAGCCAUUAGUAUCAAGUGGACCAUAUCAAGUGGACCACUUCUCAUGUUAUACUCCAAAAUUCCUUCAAGUGUAUCCUUUUUCAAUUCACCUUCAUGCUUUUUUUCCCUAAUUUUUCUAUCAUUUUGCAUUUUCAAUUGCCACAUAGUAUGCUUGUAUUCUUGACACUUGAAUUCUUAGAGUUAUUGUUUCAAUUAAUUGGAAAUGCUAUCAUAUAUUCUUGUACAUACCCAUUGCACAUAUGGAUUAAUUGUGGACUAUACUGCCGUGUUUGUUUUCCGGCUCUUGAUGUUUGUCGAUAAUGGGUUUGCUGCAAGAAUGAGUUUGUAAGCCCUUCCAUCCAUUCACUUUUUAUAUAUUUAGCUGGUUUUCUUCAUUAUUACUAUGGUAGAUGAGAUGCGGAGUUACACUGUUCUGAUGUGUUUCUUUUAAUCUAUCUAAUUGAAGUUAAGCUAUAUCUAAAUGUACAAUAACCCACACUUUAUAAUCAUCGGCAGUUAAUCAUCUGCAGCUGCCUGAAGAGGAGCAGAAAUGGGAAUUUCUUAUCUGGUUACUUUUUAGCUACUAUGGACUUCUUUGCAUUGCUUGCAUGUCAGUGGGGAUGAUUGUUGCAGGAAUCAUUUUGGCUUAACCCCUUGCAGCGGUUGACUUGACGACAAGCACACCCAGUGCGUUCCCAACAGGGUAUCCAUGUGUCUGAAUAUGGGGUAAGUUUGACUUUAUUGCAAUAUAUUUAGAAGUUUUAGUAACAUAUGUCAUGAAAAUUGUAAUCUUAGGACAUGUUAUUGAAUCUUGCUUAUCAGCUGAUGCCAUCAUAUUUGAUAAGUGAUAAUACAAUAUUAGAGUAUGAGUCUAUGUUGCUCUGUUUUCAUUUUAGUCUUGUUUUGAUUUUGUCAACCUUGCCAUGAUAGUUUCCACUUAAAUGCUCAAGACCAAUUUGUUUUUUUCCUCGAAGUAUUUUGAUGAAUACAAAUGUGGUGCAUACUCUAAGGAUGAGUUAGAUGAAGUGAAGGACGAAUGGACGAAAUAUAUGUUCACAAAUGUUAUCCCCAUGGGAAGUUGGAUAAUGUAACCGAAUAAGAAGAGUCGAGCGAUGGUAGGCGUUUCUGAGUCAAGUUAACACUAAUUAAGGAUUAUGAAGCAACAUCACAUACUAGGGAUAUUUAGAUAUUUUAUGAACUAAUUUUGACGUAAUGUUAUGUUUAACCACUCUACUAAUAUUUAUGUUUUAGUUUUUGAAUGUUUGAACUACAUUAGUUUCUUUCGUUUGGAACUUCAAGUACUUGAAUUAAAUUUUUGAUGUAUGGAUCUUGUCACUAUUGAAUGAAUUAUAUAAAUGAGAUUAAGUUAUUUAUAUUUA